UACGUAGGGUGCAAGCGUUGUCCGGAAUUAUUGGGCGUAAAGAGCUCGUAGGCGGUCUGUCGCGUCGGCUGUGAAAACCCCGGGGGCUCAACCCCCGGGCCUGCAGUCGAUACGGGCAGACUAGAGUGCGGUAGGGGGAGACUGGAAUUCCUGGUGUAGCGGUGAAAUGCGCAGAUAUCAGGAGGAACACCGGUGGCGAAGGCGGGUCUCUGGGCCGUAACUGACGCUGAGGAGCGAAAGUGUGGGGAGCGAACAGG
rnacentral:rRNA from 1 species